AUGAACGCUAGCGGCAGGCCUAACACAUGCAAGUCGAGGGGUAGUUGUCUUCGGGCAAUGAGACCGGCGCACGGGUGCGUAACGCGUAUGCAAUCUACCUUAUACUAAGGGAUAGCCCAGAGAAAUUUGGAUUAAUACCUUAUGGUUAAUUGAAAAGGCAUCUUUUUAAUUAUAAAGAUUUAUUGGUAUAAGAUGAGCAUGCGUCCCAUUAGUUAGUUGGUAAGGUAACGGCUUACCAAGACGAUGAUGGGUAGGGGUCCUGAGAGGGAGAUCCCCCACACUGGUACUGAGACACGGACCAGACUCCUACGGGAGGCAGCAGUGAGGAAUAUUGGUCAAUGGGCGCAAGCCUGAACCAGCCAUGCCGCGUGCAGGAUGACGCAUCUAUGGUGUGUAAACUGCUUUUGUACAGGAAGAAACAUCCCGACGAGUCGGGACUUGACGGUACUGUAAGAAUAAGGAUCGGCUAACUCCGU
rnacentral:rRNA from 1 species